CCAGCCAAGUAGCGUGAAGGAUGACUGCCCUAUGGGUUGUAAACUUCUUUUAUAAAGGAAUAAAGUCGGGUAUGGAUACCCGUUUGCAUGUACUUUAUGAAUAAGGAUCGGCUAACUCCGUGCCAGCAGCCGCGGUAAUACGGAGGAUCCGAGCGUUAUCCGGAUUUAUUGGGUUUAAAGGGAGCGUAGAUGGAUGUUUAAGUCAGUUGUGAAAGUUUGCGGCUCAACCGUAAAAUUGCAGUUGAUACUGGAUAUCUUGAGUGCAGUUGAGGCAGGCGGAAUUCGUGGUGUAGCGGUGAAAUGCUUAGAUAUCACGAAGAACUCCGAUUGCGAAGGCAGCCUGCUAAGCUGCAACUGACAUUGAGGCUCGAAAGUGUGGGUAUCAAACAGGAUUAGAUACCCUGGUAGUCCACACGGUAAACGAUGAAUACUCGCUGUUUGCGAUAUACUGCAAGCGGCCAAGCGAAAGCGUUAAGUAUUCCACCUGGGGAGUACGCCGGCAACGGUGAAACUCAAAGGAAUUGACGGGGGCCCGCACAAGCGGAGGAACAUGUGGUUUAAUUCGAUGAUACGCGAGGAACCUUACCCGGGCUUAAAUUGCAGAUGAAUUACGGUGAAAGCCGUAAGCCGCAAGGCAUCUGUGAAGGUGCUGCAUGGUUGUCGUCAGCUCGUGCCGUGAGGUGUCGGCUUAAGUGCCAUAACGAGCGCAACCCUUGUUGUCAGUUACUAACAGGUUCCGCUGAGGACUCUGACAAGACUGCCAUCGUAAGAUGUGAGGAAGGUGGGGAUGACGUCAAAUCAGCACGGCCCUUACGUCCGGGGCUACACACGUGUUACAAUGGGGGGUACAGAGGGCCGCUACCACGCGAGUGGAUGCCAAUCCCCAAAACCUCUCUCAGUUCGGACUGGAGUCUGCAACCCGACUCCACGAAGCUGGAUUCGCUAGUAAUCGCGCAUCAGCCACGGCGCGGUGAAUACGUUCCCGGGCCUUGUACACACCGCCCGUCAAGCCAUGGGAGCCGGGGGUACCUGAAGUGCGUAACCGCGAGGAGCGCCCUAGGGUAAAACUGGUGACUGGGGCUAAGUCGUAACAAGGUAGCCGUACCGGAAGGUGCGGCUG
rnacentral:rRNA from 1 species